GCCUCCUUAGCUCAGCGGCCAGAGCACCUGUCUUGUAAACAGGGGGUCGCGGGUUCGACUCCCGCAGGGGGCUC
rnacentral:tRNA from 1 species